rnacentral:lncRNA from 1 species
GGUCAUAUAAACCAAACAAGAAAGGUCAAACAAAACCUGUGAGACUGACAUGUACAUCAUAAAAUAUUUUACCGUUUUGUCUUUAGGGUUGACAUCAGUGUGCAACGUAGCCUUAACAGCUCUGAUAUAUAUGAAGUAAACGUCAAACUGUAUGGUUGUGUUGUUUCUGCAUAACUAUAGUAGAAUUAGCCCUGACAACAGUUUAACAAAAAGAAAAACAGAC